AUUGAACGCUGGCGGCAGGCCUAACACAUGCAAGUCGAACGAGUGGCGGACGGGUGAGUAAUGUCUGGGAAACUGCCCGAUGGAGGGGGAUAACUACUGGAAACGGUAGCUAAUACCGCAUACCAUCGGAUGUGCCCAGAUGGGAUUAGCUAGUAGGUGGGGUAACGGCUCACCUAGGCGACGAUCCCUAGCUGGUCUGAGAGGUUGACCAGCCACACUGGAACUGAGACACGGUCCAGACUCCUACGGGAGGCAGCAGUGGGGAAUAUUGCGCAAUGGGCGCAAGCCUGAUGCAGCCAUGCCGCGUGUAUGAUGAAGGCCUUCGGGUUGUAAAGUACUUUCAGCGAGGAAGCGUUACUCGCAGAGAAAGCACCGGCUAACUCCGUGCCAGCAGCCGCGGUAAUUC
rnacentral:rRNA from 1 species